CCUGUCUCUUGAGGCAUUUGCAGGUAUGGCUGCCAUGCCACAUGUGCAUCAGUAGGUGGCAGAGAGGAGAGAAGCUAUGUCUUCGCUCUGUGUUCUGACCUGUGAACAUCUGAAUGACUAGUUAGCCUGGCAUU